ensembl:lncRNA LINC00705 long intergenic non-protein coding RNA 705
AAGAGUGAGAGUAAAUUGAUUUAAUUUCAGACUGUUCUUGGCAGUCCAUAAGUAGAGAUUUCCAAGUUUUACAAUAGAGAAUUAAAAUGAUUGAAAAAUAUUCUAAAAAAAAAAAAACAACCUGCAGAAGAAAGCUAGAAAAUCAGAAGAUGAAAUAUUUUUUAGGCAUAAAAUAUGCAUGCAGUUUAUAGACAAUGGAGAUGUGCUAACUCUUGAAAACGUGCUUCGACAUCUCAAAUUGCUUAAGGCUUUUGCAACAAAAUAACUUACCAGUGUCAGGCCAUGGUAGAAUAUGAGUUCACAAUGAAUUUUUAUGCCUGGGUUUCUGUGACCCAAGUUAUGCUGAAGAAUAUGAGAGACACCACCUUUUAAAAAUUUUUACAUAGCCUGCGGCCACUGCAAUUCGUUAAUCCCUUUGGAAAAUUGCUUAAGCCUGGCAUGUUUUGUAAUGAACUUUAUCUCUUCACUACCAAAAGUCGUAAAAAGGAACUUCAGUGAGGAAAGAAACACAAUUGAUAAUUGAAUAUUUCAAAGAGAUCAGCAUUUUAGAAAACUGGACGGAAUCUCACUCUCACCAGGCUGGAGUGCAGCGAGCAAUCUCGGCUCACUGCAGCCUCUGCCUCCUGGGUUCAAGCAAUUCUCCUGCCUCAGCCUCCCGAGUAGCUGGGAUUACAGUUGAGAAGAAUACAUUUCAAGAGAUGCUCUUGGAAAACACGUUUGAUGGAGAGGUUGAUUUUUGUAACCUGUAUGCCGUAGUCAGGAGGGAAAUUUGGACAUGGACACAUAGGGAAGACAGCCAUGUGGAGACAGAGGCAGAGGUGGACCUGCUGCCGCAAAACCACAGGGCGCCAAGUACUGUGGGCCACUGAGAAAACUAAAGGAGAGGAAGGAUUCUUCCCUGGAGCUUUGGAGAGGGUGCGGCCCUACUUUCACCUGGAUUUCAGACUUCAGACUUCCAGAACCAUGAAGGAAUAAGCUCUCUUUGUUUCAAAACCACUCAGUCAAGGCACUUUGUUACAACAGCCUAGGAAACUAAUACAGGAAUUGGUAUUAGUAAAAUCAUUAUUGUUGGCUCA